rnacentral:rRNA from 1 species
GACGAACGCUGGCGGCGUGCUUAACACAUGCAAGUCGAGCGGUAAGGCCCUUUCGGGGGUACACGAGCGGCGAACGGGUGAGUAACACGUGGGUGACCUGCCUUUAGCUCUGGGAUAAGCCUGGGAAACUGGGUCUAAUACCGGAUACGACUCCGCGGUGCAUGCUGUGGGGUGGAAAGCCUUGUGCGGCUGGAGAUGGGGCCCGCGGCCUAUCAGCUUGUUGGUGGGGUGAUGGCCUACCAAGGCGACGACGGGUAGCCGGCCUGAGAGGGCGACCGGCCACACUGGGACUGAGACACGGCCCAGACUCCUACGGGAGGCAGCAGUGGGGAAUCUUGCGCAAUGGGCGAAAGCCUGACGCAGCGACGCCGCGUGAGGGAUGACGGCCU